AAAAUUACUAAGAUUUCCAGUUUACUGGAUAUGAAGUUAUUUGAUAGUUGCUAACUCUGUAAUAGAUUACACAGUUUGUUUUAUGUCACGUGAACUUUGUACCAGGCUAUUCUGAGUUCAUAAAUAUGCGGAACUUCAUACAAGCAGCCCUUGAAAGUCAAUUUCUGCAGAUUUUACUGGUUGUUCUUAGUGACAUUGACAUCUCAGUGUGAAAUCUUUCACACUGUUGGACUACACACGUGGGCUGCCCUGGAAGUGAUUCUUAAACCGGAGAAGAUCUCUGUAGAUGUGAGGAGGCACAAAAGGGACAGUUUAUUCUUUCGAAGUUGCUGGAACUGCUUGCAGUAAGAAAUAAAAGCUGUGCGUCAAUCAAGAAAACUAUUUCAAUUGUUCAGAACAUGCUGCUAAACUAACCUUUGCAGCUACAUUUUUAGACG